rnacentral:rRNA from 1 species
GAUGAACGCUGGCGGCGUGCUUAGCACAUGCAAGUCGAACGAGAAGUGGAGACGGAAACCUUCGGGCGGAAGACUGUAUUUCGAGGGGCGGACGGGGGAGUAACGCGUGGGUAACCUGCCUCAUACAGGGGGAUAACAGUUGGAAACGACUGUUAAUACCGCAUAAGACCACAGCACCGCAUGGUGCGGGGGUAAAAACUCCGGUGGUAUGAGAUGGACCCUCGUUCGAUUAGCCAGUUGGAGGGGUAACCGCACCCCAAAGCGACGAUCGCAAGCCGGGCUGUGAGGCUGGCCCGCCACUCUGGGGCUGGGCCACGGCCCGGACUCCUCCGGGAUGGAGCAGUGGGGAAUAUUGCACCACCGGGGGAAUCCUGAUGGUGCUCCGCCGCGUGAGUUAUGUAGUAUUGCGGUAUGUAAAGCGUUAUCAGCAGGGCAGAAAAUGACGGUACCUGAGCAAGAAGCCCCGGCUAACUACGUG